rnacentral:misc_RNA from 1 species
GAAAUGCGAUAAGUAGUGUGAAUUGCAGAAUUUAGUGAAUUAUCAAAUCUUUAAACGCACAUUGCGCCCUUUAGUAUUCCUUAGGGCAUGCCUAUUCGAGCGUUAUUUAAACCUUUAAGCUCUGCUUGGUGUUGGGCGUCUGUCCUUGCCUCUAGGCGGUGGACUUGCCUUAAAUUUAUUGGCGGCUGGUACGUUGGCUUUGAGCGCAGCAGAAACGCGUUCUUGAGGCGGGCGGACUGGUUCCUAGAAGCUAAACUUAUUAUUUUAACCUUGGAUCAGGUAGGGAUACCUGCUAAACUUAA